UACACAUGCAGUCGAACGGUGAAGCAGAGCUUGCUCUGUGGAUCAGUGGCGAACGGGUGAGUAACACGUGAGCAACCUGCCCCGGACUCUGGGAUAAGCGCUGGAAACGGCGUCUAAUACCGGAUACGAGAUUCCACCGCAUGGUGAGUUUCUGGAAAGAUUUUUUGGUCUGGGAUGGGCUCACGGCCUAUCAGCUUGUUGGUGAGGUAAUGGCUCACCAAGGCGUCGACGGGUAGCCGGCCUGAGAGGGUGACCGGCCACACUGGGACUGAGACACGGCCCAGACUCCUACGGGAGGCAGCAGUGGGGAAUAUUGCACAAUGGGCGGAAGCCUGAUGCAGCAACGCCGCGUGAGGGAUGACGGCCUUCGGGUUGUAAACCUCUUUUAGCAGGGAAGAAGCGAAAGUGACGGUACCUGCAGAAAAAGCGCCGGCUAACUACGUGCCAGCAGCCGCGGUAAUACGUAGGGCGCAAGCGUUAUCCGGAAUUAUUGGGCGUAAAGAGCUCGUAGGCGGUUUGUCGCGUCUGCUGUGAAAUCCCGAGGCUCAACCUCGGGUCUGCAGUGGGUACGGGCAGACUAGAGUGCGGUAGGGGAGAUUGGAAUUCCUGGUGUAGCGGUGGAAUGCGCAGAUAUCAGGAGGAACACCGAUGGCGAAGGCAGAUCUCUGGGCCGUUACUGACGCUG
rnacentral:rRNA from 1 species